UAAUACGUAGGUGGCAAGCGUUGUCCGGAUUUACUGGGCGUAAAGCGUAUGCAGGCGGGUGUGUAAGUAGGGAGUGAAAGGUUGGGGCUCAACCCUAACACGGCUCCCUAUACUGCACGUCUCGAGGAUCGGAGAGGAAGAGGGAACGACACGUGUAGCGGUGAAAUGCGUUGAGAUGUGUCGGAACACCAAUGGCGAAAGCACUCUUCUGGACGAUGCCUGACGCUGAGAUACGAAAGCCAAGGGAGCGAACAGGAUUAGAUACCCUGGUAGUCUUGGCCAUAAACGAUGCUCACUAGGUGUCGGGGGUUACCCUCGGUGCCGCAGCUAACGCAUUAAGUGAGCCGCCUGGGGACUACGGCCGCAAGGUUG
rnacentral:rRNA from 1 species